GGAUAGGAGAUUCCUUCCUUUCCUCUCCAGGUUGCCGUAAACAGCCCACCCACCGCCCAGAGUGGAAAGGGCACAAAGAGACCCAGCCUCCUAGUCUCUCGUACCGGCAUCCAGCCGCCUGCUUAGGGACAGGAAGUCGGCCAUGCCGAGAAGGUCGUUCUGAAUGGAAGUGGAAGGACGGCCACAGAAACGGACAGGAAGUUGGCCAUCCCGGGGAGGUCGGUGUGUAAGACAGUGGAGGACUACUGCGCAUGUGUGACUGGAAGUUGGCAGGCCCUAGGAGUAGGUAACCCAAAACACUCGAAGAGCCACUUGGACCCAUUUACAACCGAAAACAUCUUUUAUGACUCAGGGACUUCUACUCCCAGAAUUCCUGAGUCAGCAUAGCUGGGCUAGCUAGCUCUCUCCUGCCCUUCCUGCUUCCUGCAGAGACGCAGCAAAAGGAGGAGUGCCAUCCAGUAAGCUUUUUAGCUCGUCGGAGAACACUGUGAGUCCACUCUCUUUUUUACACACACACACA